rnacentral:rRNA from 1 species
CCUACGGGUGGCAGCAGUGGGGAAUAUUGCACAAUGGGGGAAACCCUGAUGCAGCAACGCCGCGUGAGUGAAGAAGUCUUUCGGUAUGUAAAGCUCUAUCAGCAGGGAAGAAGAAAGACGGUACCUGACUAAGAAGCCCCGGGUAACUACGUGCCAGCCGCCGCGGUAAUACGGGGGGGGGAAGCGUUUUCCGGAUUUACUGGGUGAAAAGGGAGCGUAGACGGCUGUGCAAGUCUGAAGUGAAAGCCCUGGGCUCAACCGGGGAACUGCUUUGGAAAAUGUAUAGCUUGAGUACUGGAGAGGCAGGCGGAAUUCCUAGUGUAGCGGUGAAAUGCGUAGAUAUUAGGAGGAACACCAGUGGCGAAGGCGGCCUGCUGGACAGAAACUGACGUUGAGGCUCGAAAGCGUGGGGAGCAAACAGGAUUAGAUACCCGAGUAGUC